UACGAAGGGGGCUAGCGUUGUUCGGAAUUACUGGGCGUAAAGGGCGCGUAGGCGGUGUGUCAAGUCAGGCGUGAAAGCCCCGGGCUCAACCUGGGAACCGCGCUUGAGACUGGCACGCUCGAGUUCGGGAGAGGAUGGUGGAAUUCCCGGUGUAGCGGUGAAAUGCGCAGAUAUCGGGAGGAACACCAGUGGCGAAGGCGGCGCUCUGGGCCGGAACUGACGCUGAGGAGCGAAAGCGUGGGUAGCAAACAGG
rnacentral:rRNA from 1 species